GGCUACUAUUAAAGGGCGGGUAACUCUAAUUCCGGUUUAUGACAGGAAGUGUACGAUUAAAAGCGCGGGCUUUCAGCGAGGUAAACAAAGGAAGACAAAGAGAGGGAAUAUACGAUCUACACGAACUGAGCGGUGCUAGAGAUGUUUGGCUAAUGACAUGAUGGCAAGAAUGAAUUUGUGAGCAAACAAGGGAAAGGCAGCCUUCAGCAGAACAAUUCUGUAUUCCGUUAUAAAAGAAUGUGUACUUGCCAGCAAUCCAAGGGCAACUGAAAGCAACAUAGACUAGAUCAUGGGGAACCCCUGAAAGAGCUGGAGGAGGUGGCCGAAAAAAGAACAAUGGACUAAUAGGCUUUAAUUAAAAAUAUAGUUUUUUGUGGGUCACUCACACUCUUGGAAAAAAACCACUCUAGUUAAAUAUCUUAACUAUUGCUUCUGCAAUAGAAAGUAAUUAUCAAAGUUAAUAAAUCUUAUACUAUCAUUCUAUUAAUUUUUGUUUUUGAAUGGAAAUUUAAUUUUUGAAACCAUGUGAAAAAUCUGACAAAUUUAUUUUGCCUUUCAUUUGCGUGUAUAAAUGAAUUUAACCUUGUAUCAUUGUUGUAAUUUUUUACAGUGGAAGUUAUAGAGUUUCACUUGUAUUAUUCAUGUUGUUGUCAUUAUUCUUUUUGUAAGAAUUAAAUUAGGGAAGUAAGGAUUAGUAAUUGUAUUUAGAAUUGUGGAUUACAGCCUGAUGUUUACCAUUUUUCAGCAUGUACACUCAACUUUGCAAUAAAGAUCAAUAAUAUUUUCAAAACCUUCUUUCAACCUUAUUUCAACGUCACAUCAACGUCAUAAAUUGACGUUGAAUCAACGUAAGUUUUCAACGUCGAUUCAAUUAACAAAUCCAACCAAAUUUCAACGUCAUUUCAACGUCACAAUACGACGUUGUUUCAACGUUGAUGUGCCUGCUGGGUGAUUAUACUAUUGCAACAAUUAUAUUACUUUGAUGAAUAUUGUUCGUUAAUUAUCAUACAAUUUCUUCUGAGAGAGAAUGUUAAUCGUUAAUUUAUGUGGGGUUUUCCCGUUGUUUAAUGACGAAAUGCGUAUACAAAACUCAACACCUGGAUUCGGACCACAAUUAAAAGGUGAAGGUCACCAGUCUGAAGAUAUUUGCAAUGUAUUCAGUGUGACAUAUACAUGUCUAUUAAUUUUUUUAAGGGUUUCUUUGCUGUUAAGGUUAUACCAUACACAAAAUUUGGAGAAAGUGUAGAUUACAUCAAUCCUUCUUGUUUUUGCCAUUCUAAAGUUCACAUUAAUUUGUUAAAUGGUAAAAACUAGAGUACAAUUGUAUUUAUUCCGAGAGAUUUCAAUUUUUUCAUGUCUUUGCUUUGAAUUUCCAUACAGAUAUAAAAGGAGAAAUUUGGGAAGAAUGAUGAAAUAAGACUGGUUUGAUAGGGAAAUUUUGUGAUAGAAAUGAUCAUUUUUAGCAAAUAUUAAGCCUGCACAAAGUAUGUGCCCCAAUAAGUUGUAUUAAUAGGUAUACGCAUUCUCAUGUAGUAUUUUUAAAGCUAUACUUUUCUGCUGUAUUUUAAUAAAUUUGCUAAUCCCC